UACAGAGGGGGCAAGCGUUGUUCGGAAUUACUGGGCGUAAAGGGCGCGUAGGCGGCCGCCUAAGUCAGACGUGAAAUCCCUCGGCUCAACCGGGGAACUGCAUCCGAUACUGGAUGGCUUGAAUCCGGGAGAGGGAUGCAGAAUUCCAGGUGUAGCGGUGAAAUGCGUAGAUAUCUGGAGGAAUACCGGUGGCGAAGGCGGCAUCCUGGACCGGCAUUGACGCUGAUGAGCGAAAGCGUGGGGAGCAAACAGG
rnacentral:rRNA from 1 species